CAUCGGCUUUAAAAUCUGUACCUGAUCCUGAGAGUUGUUGUUGUGGCGGCUGAAAAGCUGCAGCCGUGUGUGUUUGUAACAGCAACCAAGUGUAAGUAUGAAUAAAGAUUGUGCUGAAAAGCAUUAAACUGUGGACGAGUCUGCUGUGGAGCUGCUACACUUUCUUUUCUCAUGGUAACCAUGAUAUUGUAAUAUUUCUCCCAGAGAAACUUUGUGGAUGAAUGCUGGGCUGCGCUGAGCCAGAGAGUAGAAACGUUGGCGUCUGUUAUUGAGCAGAUUUUGGAAACCCUGGCUGGUCUGAGUUACUGGGAACUUGAGGUUUUCAAGGAAGUCCUGCAUAAACUUCAUUACAAACAUUAGUCAGACAUCCAAAGAAUCAUCUACACGAGGACAGACCUGCAGGACACGGUGUUUUUCAUGGUCCUGACUUACGGUGAGCGGUCAGUGGAGGAGACCAUGGAGGGUUUAAACGAGAUGAAGGGGGCUGAUCUGGCUCAGAGGCCGUCAGACUGCAGCCCAGAACCCAAAAAGAAACACUCUGUGGAUGAACGACGCUCUGCACUGAUCCACAAAGUGAGUCAUGUCACAUCUCUGAUUCAGUACAAGACAGCAGGCUGAAAGUCAGAGGACUAAAGUAUCAUCAGUUCUCAUGUUGAGUCAUUUUUCUCAUGAUUUCUGC